rnacentral:rRNA from 1 species
ACCGAACCCGUUGACGUUGAAAAGUCUUGGGAUGAACCUGUGGAUAGGGGUGAAAGGCCAAAUCAAACUGAGAGAUAGCUCGUUCUCCCCGAAAUGUUUUUAGGAACAGCGUUGCAAUCUAGAAGUUUAUUAGAGGUAGAGCUACUGAUUGGGCUACGGGGGCUUCACCGCCUACCAAACCCUGACAAACUCCGAAUGCUAAUAAAUAUCUGCAGCAGUGAGGCUUUGGGCGCUAAGGUCCAGGGCCGAGAGGGAAAUAACCCAGAUUAGCAACUAAGGUCCCUAAUACGUAGUUAAGUUGAUCAAACGAGGUGGGAUUUCUAUAACAGCCAGGAUGUUGGCUUGGAAGCAGCCAUUCAUUUAAAGAGUGCGUAACAGCUCACUGGUCGAGAGAUCCUGCACGGAAAAUAAUCGGGCAUCAAACUACGAACCGAAGUUCUAAAUUCUCCGCCUCGGCGGAGAGUGGUAGGGGAGCAUUGAAAUCUGCACAGAAGGUGUAUCGCGAGAUAUGCUGGAGCGAUUUCAAAAGAAAAUGUAGGCAUAAGUAACGAUAAUUAAAGUGAAAAACUUUAACGCGAAAAGUCUAAGGUUUCCUGAUCAACGUUAAUCGGAUCAGGGUUAGUCUGGUCCUUAGGAAAACCCGAAAGGGGUAUCUGAUGGAAAGCUGGUUAAUAUUCCAGCACCUGCUAUACAUUAAAAGUGACGAAGAAUGAUAGUCGAAUAAGCUGACGGAAUAGCUGAGUGGAUCCUUCGGGUGAAGCGUAUCGAUGAAAGUUCUUCCAAGAAAAGCGAGUAUAGCAGCCAGUACCGGAAUCCGACACAGGUAGACGGGAUGAGUAUUCUAACGCGCUCGGGUGAGCCGUGGAGAAGGAACUAGGCAAAUUGACGCUGUAACUUCGGGAUAAAGCGUACCCCGCUGCAAAGCGGGGUCACAGUAAAAUGGUUCAACCAACUGUUUAACAAAAACACAGGGCCCUGCAAAAACGUAAGUUGACGUAUAGAGCCUGAAAACCUGCCCCGGUGCUGGAAGGUUAAGGAAGGGUGUUCGGCGCAAGCCAAAGCUCCUGACUGAAGCCCCAGUAAACGGCGGCCGUAACGAUAACGGUCCUAAGGUAGCGAAAUUCCUUGUCGGGUAAGUUCCCCCCCKCCAGUUCCUUUGAGUUUCAACCUUGCGGUCGUACUUCCCAGGUGGGAUACUUAAUGCUUUCGCUCAGACACACACAGUGUAUCGCGUAUGUCGAGUAUCCAUCGUUUAGGGCGUGGACUACCAGGGUAUCUAAUCCUGUUUGAUCCCCACGCUUUCGUGCCUCAGCGUCAAUAUAUGCGUAGUAAGCUGCCUUCGCAAUAGGUGUUCUAUGUCAUAUCUAAGCAUUUCACCGCUACAUGACAUAUUCCGCUUACCUCCACAAUAUUCAAGAUAAAUAGUAUCAAUGGCAGUUCUAGAGUUAAGCUCUAGGAUUUCACCACUGACUUAAAUACCCGCCUACGCACCCUUUAAACCCAGUGAAUCCGGAUAACGCUUGCACCCUCCGUAUUACCGCGGCUGCUGGCACGGAGUUAGCCGGUGCUUAUUCAUAAGGUACCGUCAAGUGAGAAAGUAAUUCCCUUUUUCGUCCCUUAUAAAAGAAGUUUACAAUCCAGAGGUACCUUAAUCCUUCACGCGGCAUGGCUGGAUCAGGCUUGCGCCCAUUGUCCAAUAUUCCUUACUGCUGCCUCCCGUAGGAGUCGGGCCCGUGUCUCAGUGCCCGUGUGGCUGAUCAUGCUCUCACAUCAGCUACUGAUCGAAGGCUUGGUGGGCCGUUACCCCGCAACUCCUAAUCCAGCCGCACACCCAU